rnacentral:rRNA from 1 species
UGGGUCUAAUACCGGAUACGACCAAUCUCCGCAUGGGGUGUUGGUGGAAAGCGUUAUGGAGUGGUUUUAGAUGGGCUCACGGCCUAUCAGCUUGUUGGUGAGGUAAUGGCUUACCAAGGCGACGACGGGUAGCCGGCCUGAGAGGGUGACCGGCCACACUGGGACUGAGACACGGCCCAG